GCAUCUUUAGCUUAAAUUGGCAAAGUAUCUGUUUUCGGCACAGUUUGAUACUGGUUCGAAUCCGGUAAGAUGUU
rnacentral:tRNA from 1 species